AUAGAAAUUUUUUUGCCAACUGACCGAACCGUGGUCGCGUUGCUAUCAGUAAUCGACCCAUAGGCUUUAGUGCUCUAAGUUACCUAAAAGUGUUCUCUAACAAAAAAUAUAGGCUUGUUCGAGUUGCAAUCACAACCGCAGUGUUGCGCGAAUUAUUAAAAUAUCACG